AUGCCAGGCGAGGACACCGACCCCAAGUCCAACGCUUCUGCUGCUGCUGUGUCGUACGUGUUCUUAUCCUUUCUGUUAGAAGUCCUGCUACAGUUCUUGGCUCUAGUUUCAGCCCUACGUAUGUUAGGUUCUAUGUCGUAUAAGCAACUUCAUCUAGUGUCUGUUCUAGAUAUGUUUACCUCAAGUUCAUAUAUGCAGACGAUGUUUACCUUCUCUCUGUCAGAUUGCAUGACUUGCUUUAUAUUUGCCAUACUAGUCAUGCUUUAUCUAGUAUUUCUGUUAAUAAAAUCAUUCGGAAAAUUGCUCAUAUUUCCAACAAUCCAAAAACCUUAUUAUAGGCAAUUUACCUCAAAUGGUUUUGCUGCUUCCAUGAGACCUUCUAUGUUUGAGGGUAUUCACUAUAAGAGGUGGCGCGUGAGAGCAGUCUUAUGGUUUCAAACCAUGAGUUGCUAUGACGCCACUCUUGGUAGACCUGAAGGAGAACUUGAUGCUCAACAGGCACAAGCUUUUCAGAAAAUGGUUACUUUGUUUAAGGCUGAUCUCUUGAGUGUUCUUGGUGAGAACAUAGUUGAUGCUUAUGCGUCGAUUGAUAAUGGAAAAGAUAUGUGGGAUGCACUUGAGGCCAAGUUUGGGGUCUCGGAUGCUGGCACUGAGCUGUACAUCAUGGAGUAA
rnacentral:rRNA from 1 species